UGGCGUGUAGCUCAGAGGUAGAGCGUUUGGGGUCGAUACCCAAAAUGCGCCGGUUCGAUCCCGGUCACGUCAA
rnacentral:tRNA from 1 species